rnacentral:tRNA from 1 species
AAGUGGUUAGUUUAAACAAAACUUUUGAUUUCGGCUCAAAGUCUUAAGGUUUAAGUCCUUAACUGCUUA